rnacentral:rRNA from 1 species
CGAACGCUGGCGGCAGGCCUAACACAUGCAAGUCGAGCGCUCCGCAAGGGGAGCGGCAGACGGGAGAGUAACACGUGGGAACGUGCCCUUUGGUUCGGAACAACACAGGGAAACUUGUGCUAAUACCGGAUAAGUCCGUAAGGAGAAAGAUUUAUCGCCAAAGGAUCGGCCCGCGUCUGAUUAGCUUGUUGGUGAGGUAACGGCUCACCAAGGCGACGAUCAGUAGCUGGUCUGAGAGGAUGAUCAGCCUCACUGGGACUGAGACACGGCCCAGACUCCUACGGGAGGCAGCAGUGGGGAAUAUUGGACAAUGGGCGCAAGCCUGAUCCAGCCAUGCCGCGUGGGUGAUGAAGGCCCUAGGGUUGUAAAGCCCUUUCGGCGGGGAAGAUAAUGACGGUACCCGCAGAAGAAGCCCCGGCUAACUUCGUGCCAGCAGCCGCGGUAAUACGAAGGGGGCUAGCGUUGCUCGGAAUCACUGGGCGUAAAGCGCACGUAGGCGGCUUUUUAAGUCAGAGGUGAAAUCCUGGAGCUCAACUCAGAACUGCCUUUGAUACUGAAGAGCUUGAGUCCGGGAGAGGUGAGUGGAACUGCGAGUGUAGAGGUGAAAUUCGUAGAUAUUCGCAAGAACACCAGUGGCGAAGGCGGCUCACUGGCCCGGUACUGACGCUGAG